AUGGACGAAAGUCUGACCGAGCAACGCCGCGUGAGUGAAGAAGGUUCUCGGAUCGUAAAGCUCUGUUGUAAGUCAAGAACGUGUGUGAGAGUGGAAAGUUCACACAGUGACGGUAGCUUACCAGAAAGGGACGGCUAACUACGUGCCAGCAGCCCGCGGUAAUACGUAGGUCCCGAGCGUUGUCCGGAUUUAUUGGGCGUAAAGGGAGCGCAGGCGGUCAGGAAAGUCUGGAGUAAAAGGCUAUGGCUCAACCAUAGUGUGCUCUGGAAACUGUCUGACUUGAGUGCAGAAGGGGAGAGUGGAAUUCCAUGUGUAGCGGUGAAAUGCGUAGAUAUAUGGAGGAACACCAGUGGCGAAAGCGGCUCUCUGGUCUGUCACUGACGCUGAGGCUCGAAAGCGUGGGUAGCGAACAGGAUUAGAUACCCUGGUAGUCCACGCCGUAAGCGAUGAGUGCUAGGUGUUAGGCCCUUUCCGGGGCUUAGUGCCGGAGCUAACGCAAUAAGCACUCCGCCUGGGGAGUACGACCGCAAGGUUGAAACUCAAAGGAAUUGACGGGGGCCCGCACAAGCGGUGGAGCAUGUGGUUUAAUUCGAAGCAACGCGAAGAACCUUACCAGGUCUUGACAUCCCGAUGCUAUUCUUAGAGAUAGGAAGUUACUUCGGUACGUCGGAGACAGGUGGUGCAUGGUUGUCGUCAGCUCGUGUCGUGAGAUGU
rnacentral:rRNA from 1 species